GAUGAACGCUGGCGGCGUGCCUAAUACAUGCCAGUCGAGCGAACGGACGAGAAGCUUGCUUCUCUGAUGUUAGCGGCGGACGGGUGAGUAACACGUGGAUAACCUACCUAUAAGACUGGGAUAACUUCGGGAAACCGGAGCUAAUACCGGAUAAUAUUUUGAACCGCAUGGUUCAAAAGUGAAAGACGGUCUUUCUGUCACUUAUAGAUGGAUCCGCGCUGCAUUAGCUAGUUGGUAAGGUAACGGCUUACCAAGGCAACGAUGCAUAGCCGACCUGAGAGGGUGAUCGGCCACACGGGAAGUGAGACACGGUCCAGACGCCUACGGGAGGCAGCAGAAGGGAAUCUUACGCAAUGGGCGAAAGCCUGACGGAGCAACGCCGCGUGAGGGAUGAAGGUCUUCGGAUCGUAAAACUCUGUUAUGAGGGAAGAACAUAUGUGUAAGUAACUGUGCACAUCUUGACGGUACCUAAUCAGAAAGCCACGGCUAACUACGUG
rnacentral:rRNA from 1 species